AUGCGUCCUGGGGGGGCCAACGGCUGGACAUGCCCUGAAACCCCGUGGAAGAAGCAACAGCCACGGAACAGCUUUGCCUCUCCGCCCCUCCCUCUCUCCCCUAGGCCGGCGGCGGCGCCCGUGUUCCUCUGCUCAGCUUCGGUACAUUCGACGCGAUUUGCCCUUUCUCUUUCCCGUCCCCCCAAACUCGGCGCCGGCACAUCUCCUCUCCGGCGACAUGUCUGCCGGUGGCAUCGAGCGCUACGGGCGGGGCGGCAGGUUAAUUCGAUGCAACCCAUGGCUGUGGUGCCUCCGGUGGAGUCGCAAGCUUCGAUGAGUGUCGCAGAUGGCCAGAUUUGUCGCGUUGCCGAUCCAGCAGUGCCCAACUCCGGUGAUUUCCAGUUGGACUGAAACGGGGGAUUUGAGGUGUGCUCUGAAGCUACGAGCAGAUGGACAAGAAGGUAUGUAGUUCUAAACUUGAAUUUGAUUUGUUCUACGGGCCAAGAAAAAAUGUGUGUAGUUUGUCCUGCAAGUAGUGUGUCAGUUAUGUGAAUGCAUGUUUGACUGUUUCGAUUCAUGUAUGUGCUGCCAUGACUGAAUUCAUAUGUUCUUUUUUUUGGUCUUUUUCAGCUAUUAAUGAGCUUGACUAAAUGGAUUUCCAAUUGUUGUUUGUUUUGGUCAGUAGUGCGUUAUUGUUUGUUCCUAGUUCCGGGAAUUCCGCUAAAUAAGUAACUCUGCUGACAUUUUGUGAAGAACACCGCAUGAAGUGUGUUCAUGCCUUUUUGUGCGACUGAACGAUAAGCAAAGUUUACCCAUUUUUCUCGUAAUUAAUAUGUUCAUUUCGGUAGAUAGCUAAGCUGUCUGGAGAAAUAAAUAAUCCCCUUUGCCAAGUUCUUGUAAAUUAAAUUAGCUGUAAAUGGUAAAAUUUUCAGUAAGUGUGCCUGCAUUGGUCAGGUUUUGGACAAUUAGCUGAUUACCUUUUGAUUGCCAUGUUAUAGCUCAUGCUACAAAAAAUGUGUUUUAGUUUUUGCUUCUGUUGUACUACUAUGGCAUGACCCAGUCAGACACAAUAUAAUUUAUGUUAAUGUGUUUUCCUUCAAUAUCUGUACCUAACUGAACAAACACUCAUAAAUUGUCACCCACAAGCUGCAGUCCGAAUUGGAAAGAAGAUGUCUUCUGGAUAGUUGGUUUCUGAACUUAUUUUUCAACCAAAAUGCUGCAGUACCAAUUAGAAUUCUAUGCUUAGGUUAUUAAGAUAUUCAGUGUGGCAGCUUGUACUUUUUCGAUCAUAUAAAUUCGGUUCAAUUUUUUUUAAGCAGCCGUGCGUGCUAGCUUGCUGUUUGAUUAACCAGUUACUUAGUAGAGGUCAACUGGGCUAUAGAAUUCUGCACUCCAUAGUAUAGGAUAAUUGUCAUGGAUGCAUCUAUUCUGAAGUUAGUGAUCAGUAAUUAAGAUAGCAUCUCCAUAUUUUGCAGGCCCGGUUUUGUCGCUUUAUUUUUCAAUUAGUUCACUAGGACACGCAUGCGUUUGACAAAGAUACUACAAUGUAACCUCUCCAUAUUUUCCAACCAGUCCCUUUGUGAUAUGCUAAUUUUUCCCCUGUUUUUAUGUUCUACCAUUAGUCUGCUAAGUAGGAAACAUGUUGACCGGUAAUGUUCAGGAAUUAUCAAACUGUUCAGGUAUAGCGCCUGCGAAGGACUGACAUACUGCAGGUUGACAUACUUCAAGAGAAUAAGCAAAGGUCUAGGUUCUGCACCAUACGUCGAGGUCAGGGACACAAGAUUACCACAUGCAUGUGCUGAACGAGGUGACAUCCCUAAGGCUCCGAGGAAAUUGCCAAAGUGUUCGAAGUGUGUAGUGCUUGGUCACAGGAAGAAUGUGCGACUUACCGAUCAAUUUGAGCCGAACUUCCUUUAGCCCCGCUUUAUCAAAUGUAGCAAGAGUGUUUCGGAAUUCAGUUUCUCUACAUUUGAGUUCAUAAUUUUGUUCAUGUUCACCGGGUCAUUGUUGUGAUGACUGUUUGGGACUUAAUGAGAUAUUUUAUUCGAAUUGUCGGGACAUUUAGUUGAUA